CUCAAAAACCAAAGCAUUUAGAGCAAAUCUGACAUGGGGUAAUAUUGUUUAUCAGGUCAAGAUCUAUCUGCCCUGAAAUUUUCAGAUGAAUCAGACAACCUGUUGUUGGGUUGCUGCCCCUGAAUUGGUAAUUUUAAGGAAAUUUUGCUGUUUUUGUUUAUUAUCUUGAAUAUAAUUAUAGAUAGAAAUAAACUGUAAACAGCAAUAAUGUUCAGCAAAGUAAGAUCUUCAAUUAAGUCAAUUUGACCAAAAUUGUCAAUUGACCCCUUAAGGAGUUAUUGCCCUUUAAAG
rnacentral:lncRNA from 1 species